rnacentral:rRNA from 1 species
GAUGAACGCUGGCGGCGUGCUUAACACAUGCAAGUCGAACGGAAAGGCCGAAGCUUGCUUCGGUACUCGAGUGGCGAACGGGUGAGUAACACGUGGGUGAUCUGCCCUGUACUUCGGGAUAAGCUUGGGAAACUGGGUCUAAUACCGGAUAUGACGAUCUCUUGGAUGGGGUUGUGGAAAGCUUUUGCGGUAUGGGAUGAGCUCGCGGUCUAUCAGCUUGUUGGUGGGGUAAUGGCCUACCAAGGCGUCGACGGGUAGCCGGCCUGAGAGGGUGUACGGCCACAUUGGGACUGAGAUACGGCCCAGACUCCUACGGGAGGCAGCAGUGGGGAAUAUUGCACAAUGGGCGCAAGCCUGAUGCAGCGACGCCGCGUGGGGGAUGACGGCCUUCGGGUUGUAAACUCCUUUCGCAAUCGACGAAGCCUUUUGGUGACGGUAGGUUGAGAAGAAGCACCGGCUAACUACGUG